UACGGAGGGUGCGAGCGUUAAUCGGAAUUACUGGGCGUAAAGCGUGCGUAGGCGGCUCGUUAAGUCAGAUGUGAAAGCCCUGGGCUCAACCUGGGAACUGCAUUUGAAACUGGCGAGCUAGAGUUUGAGAGAGGUAAGUGGAAUUUCAGGUGUAGCGGUGAAAUGCGUAGAGAUCUGAAGGAACACCAGUGGCGAAGGCGACUUACUGGCUUAAAACUGACGCUGAGGUACGAAAGCGUGGGUAGCAAACAGG
rnacentral:rRNA from 2 species